GGGCCAGACUCCUACGGGAGGCAGCAGUGAGGAAUAUUGGUCAAUGGGCGAGAGCCUGAACCAGCCAAGUCGCGUGAGGGAAGACGGUCCUACGGAUUGUAAACCUCUUUUGUCAGGGAGCAAGGAGCGCCACGAGUGGUGCGGCGAGAGUACCUGAAGAAAAAGCAUCGGCUAACUACGUGCCAGCAGCCGCGGUAAUACGUAGGUGGCAAGCGUUAUCCGGAUUUACUGGGUGUAAAGGGCGUGUAGGCGGGGACGCAAGUCAGAUGUGAAAACCACGGGCUCAACCUGUGGCCUGCAUUUGAAACUGUGUUUCUUGAGUACUGGAGAGGCAGACGGAAUUCCUAGUGUAGCGGUGAAAUGCGUAGAUAUUAGGAGGAACACCAGUGGCGAAGGCGGUCUGCUGGACAGCAACUGACGCUGAGGCGCGAAAGCGUGGGGAGCAAACAGGAUUAGAUACCCGAGUA
rnacentral:rRNA from 1 species